rnacentral:rRNA from 1 species
AACGAACGCUGGCGGCAUGCCUAACACAUGCAAGUCGAACGAGACCUUCGGGUCUAGUGGCGCACGGGUGCGUAACGCGUGGGAAUCUGCCCCUUGGUUCGGAAUAACAGUUAGAAAUGACUGCUAAUACCGGAUGAUGACUUCGGUCCAAAGAUUUAUCGCCAAGGGAUGAGCCCGCGUAGGAUUAGGUAGUUGGUGGGGUAAAGGCUCACCAAGCCGACGAUCCUUAGCUGGUCUGAGAGGAUGAUCAGCCACACUGGGACUGAGACACGGCCCAGACUCCUACGGGAGGCAGCAGUGGGGAAUAUUGGACAAUGGGCGAAAGCCUGAUCCAGCAAUGCCGCGUGAGUGAUGAAGGCCUUAGGGUUGUAAAGCUCUUUUACCAGGGAUGAUAAUGACAGUACCUGGAGAAUAAGCUCCGGCUAACUCCGUGCCAGCCGCCGCAGUAA